GUCCUGUGCUGCCUAUGCGGGGUAUGCUGGAAGAUUCACAGGCAGUUUCAGUCCUGGUGUGAUGUGCCCAGCGCAACACCCACCGCGCUGAUUCGUACAAACAGCUGCUGAGCACCUCUGCGGCUGGAGUGAUUUAUAAGUUCUGGACUCCGCUUACCUGUCCCUGUUCAGGAGGAAUCUGUAACCCAACCCUUUCCCUACAAGCAUAAAAAGGAGCAAUUAAUCAAUGAAAGGACCAGUUAUUAUUCUCCACACAAAAUGCAAUUAUAGAGUAAAUUUCUGUGGUC